UACGGAGGAUCCGAGCGUUAUCCGGAUUUAUUGGGUGUAAAGGGUGCGUAGGCGGACUGUCAAGUCGGCUGUGAAAGCUCACGGCUCAACCGUGAAAUUGCAGUUGAAACUGUUGGUCUUGAGUAUUCAUGAGGUGGGCGGAAUUCGUGGUGUAGCGGUGAAAUGCUUAGAUAUCACGAAGAACUCCAGUUGCGAAGGCAGCUCACUGGGAUAUAACUGACGCUGAUGCACGAAAGUGUGGGUAUCAAACAGG
rnacentral:rRNA from 1 species